rnacentral:rRNA from 1 species
UACGUAGGGUCCGAGCGUUGUCCGGAAUUCAUUGGGCGUAAAGAGCUCGUAGGCGGUUUGUUGCGUCGGCUGUGAAAUCCCGAAGGCUCAACCUCGGGUCUGCAGUCGAUACGAGCAAACUAGAGUGUUGCAGGGGAGACGUGGAAUUCCUGGUGUAGCGGUGAAAUGCGCAGAUAUCUGGAGGAACACCGGUGGCGAAGGCGGCAUCCUGGACCAAUAUUGACGCUGAGGAGCGAAAGCCAGGGGGAGCCAAACGGGG